UAUACGACUGAUGACAAUAAGUUAAUUUCAUUUCCAAGGUAACACUAUUUUAUAAGAUAUCAAUAGGUUUUCUUUCAUUGCAGUUUAUGAAAUCAAUUUGUCAAGACAGUGGAUUGAAACCGCAGAUCAAACAUGAAAGCACAUAUCGGAAUCAUUUGUUUGUGUGUUAUUUUGGCAGCAAGCAACCCUCUGCCAUUUACGGAUGAUCUUCCAAUAGAGUACGACUUUUCCGCAUUUCGGUUUAGUCCAUUACAUUUCCUUCGUUCCUACCCAAGGAUGUUUCAAUAUAUGGACUCUGAUGCAAUGAUUGAUACACCAGAUGUCGUGGAUACAGAUAUGUGAAAACCAGUUGCCAUGGAUACAGAUAUGUGAACGUAAAAACUAACUUCAAAAUAUUGUUGACAAGAGCGAACGUGUCAUUACCUUUAUAUGAACUAUUUCUUUAUGCUUCUUUUUCAUGCAUUUAUUAUGAAGUUGUUAAUUUGUUCUCAAAGCUUUCGGUUUACUAUUUGGUAUAUUUGUGAUAAGUGUAUAUUGUUAUUGUGAAAAGGCUUAUUUCUUGUGAUAUCUAAUGUGUUUGCAAUUAAAUUCGUAAAUGGAAAGGUGUCUAUAUGACAUAUAUUUAUUUUAAACUAAUUAUAAAAUGCACUUUUAUAAAUUAAUACCUGAUACUCAUAGAAUGUUUAAAAGCGUAGCGACUGUUUAAAAUCAAACCAAUUGGCUACAUUGAUUUUAUUAAAGGGCAUAUAAUCAAUGGAAUUAAGCCUGCAAAGUGUUAUUCAAAUCUAGUUAAAGUACAUGUAUUUCUAAAAGCAACAACUAUCUAUUUAAAUUAAUUUUAUACAGUAAAACAGUUAUUUUCAUCUUUUAGUACCUUGAAGUCACAUAUGACAUAGUUUUCAGAUUGCAAUUUAUUGUUGACAUGAGCUGCUGUUAGGUUAGUGAUAUGUUGUAAGGCUUGUUUGUGUCCAUUAGAACAGAAUGUUGACACUUUACAUUAAAGUCUCGAUGUACUGGUUAAGAAAUUAAAGAGCGUGUGUUUCUCUCUUUCAUUUCUAGCGAAAGCUAUAGCUAAAAAGACUUUUCUAAAGCUACUGAUGAUAAAAUAAUAUUUUAGCGUAUAUUACUUCAGCAAUUAUUCAAGGAAUCAAUUAUUCAAGGAAUUGCUGGAAGUCAACUUGGCAGAUUAUAUCAGACAGUGACCACGUUCUUGAAAAUUUGCGAAUUGAUAUACAUGUACUGUCAAUGUCAGUAGAAAGUCGUCUCUUGUUUAUCUGGCGUACAUAUGGUGUACAUGUUUGUCUGUUUAUUCCCAAUAACGAAAAAGUUAGCACAUCAUGUCUAGUCUUACCAUUUGUUUUCUUUGUUACCCCAUGAACCUCGUCUUUCUGUCUUGUACAAUUUAUGGCAAAACAUAUGUACUUGUUUGUGAAACGCGCAUUUCUAUAUAUAUCAAUACAUUUGUACAUUUCGUACUUCAUAUUUGAUCUAUUAUGACUAUUUUAGCCUUCGGUACAGUAAAUGCAAGAUGGUUGAACAAAUUACAGUAACUCUUAGGUCAAACUUCUUUUACAAUCUCCUAGAUGAGUCCAUCUGGUUAUCGACACAAACACUUUUGACACAUAAUAAUUACUGUUGACUUUAUCUAUAAUUAUCGUUGCCCAAUUUCUGUUACGCUCAUCCAAUAGAGGCCGAAUCUAAAUACUUCUUGAAAUUUCUAACAAACAUCAAAAGGGUAUCUUUCCUCCACAACUGGUGGGUUAUUGUUAAAUCCUGGAUGCUAUGACUGUUUCUUAUGAUAUUUGAUAUGAUAUAAUACUGUAUGUGUUUUGCUAUACAUGUAUAUAUGUUUGUUGUCUUUGCCAUUCUUGUAUGCAUCUGUAAAUGGCCAAAGGCAAAUUAUUUUGAGGAAUAUGCCAAUAAAAAUGAA